CACGAGCGUCUCGAGAGCAAAUAUGUGCAACCAAUCAGAAGCGAGUUAGUUUUUAUCUGUUGUCUCUCUUUCAUCCGUUGUUUACGUUUUUGGACUUGUAUGUUAUUUUAUGAUGGUGUAUUCCUAUAUUUAUUGUCAUUCAUGUGUAUAAAUCAUCACAUUAGAAAAAACAUAGAAAUAAUUAUAUACAAAUACACCAUCAUAAAAUAAAAUACAAGUCCAAAAAGUAAACAACGGACGAAAGAGAGACAACAGAUAAAAACUAACUCGCUUCUGAUUGGUUGCACAUAUUUGCUCUCGAGACGCUCGU